UUAGAAUAUCAGCAGGAUGGUGGCCAUGGAAGUUGGAAUUCACUAAGGUGUGUGUAACAACUCACCUGCCAAAUUGACUAG
rnacentral:ncRNA from 1 species